GGGGGUGGGGGAGACACAACAACCGGCGGAUCAAAACACCUGGUUGUUGGGAUGACUGAGCAUCUACAGAGAGGACAAGUUGAGUUGGAGUGCUCAUUUUCAACCCCACACAUCCUAAGGGCAAUAUAAGGUUGACUUCAAAUAUCAAUCUCUCCCCCCAAAUUGGAGACAUUUAAUUGCAAGAAGGGGCCAACCUCAACUAUACUCCACGGUAAUGGACAUGCACUUUUCUUAAUUUCGAAAGUUCUAAUUUUCAUACUAUACAUUGGUUGAAAUGAUGUCCUAACUCUAGAUUUAUGCUUUUAGUUCAAUAAUUAUGUAAUUUCUAUUCAUGUUGGCCUUUAUAAUA